UUCACGCCUCUUUCUUGAGAUCAUAAUUGUAGUACCUCUCAUUGUCCUCAGUGUCGCCACAAAUUUUAAAGCUUAGGGAAAAAUUGUUUCCCUAUACUCCGCAGUCUCGUACGUCGUUCGCGCGUCCGCGACCAACUUCAUUCUUUCGCUUUGUGUCAGUGUCUUCACACGUAGACUGAGUAACGAAUUACAGAAUAUUAUAUUAUGGGUCGAAAAGAUAGGAAGAGGACGUCGUCGAUGGAUGAGGAUAAGGAAAAUGACAGACUCUAUCGAAAAAUUUGUAGACUAGAGGAGAAAUUGCAUCGAAGGAAGGAUGAUCAGCGUAUGUUGGGAGGUAACCCCACUUCUUUGGUCCGUGGGAUAAGAGACGCUUCGAAACAGAAUUUUGUAAAUUCUUGUUUCGAGUACUAUAUCGACAUCCGUCGAUUCUGCCAGCGGCUGUGUCGUUGUGCAGAGUGCUUUGGCUCUUACCAAACGCACAUCUUUCGUGUGACGAAAGAAAACAGUACAUAAAUUUAGGACAGCCGGGGUAAAAGUUCGGGGUCACGUAGUCGCUCACGCCAUCGCCAUAGUUCGAGACACUCGCUGGAUCGUGAGAUACCUCGGUCAGUAUCUCGAGGACGCUCAUCAGGAGGUCGACGCUCAUCGAGUUAUUCGAGAGAUAAUUUCGAUUUUAGAGUUUUUGGUAGAUCACGCUCUAGUUCUCGAUACACAUCGAGACAGUCGUCUGUUUCUCGGUCAACAAAAUCGAGUCAAUCAUCGUGUAUCUGUGAGAUACCGGUUUCGAGGACCGAGAAGGACAGCGAGAUUAAAGAAUCUCGCGGCGGUCGAGACGGCAGAAGUUCCCGAACAUGAAGUAGUGUUAUAAGAGGAAAUU